GGAGGGUGCAAGCGUUAAUCGGAAUUACUGGGCGUAAAGCGAGUGUAGGCGGCUGCAUAAGUCGGAUGUGAAAGCCCUGGGCUUAACCUGGGAACUGCAUUCGAUACUGUGCGGCUAGAGUCUGAUAGAGGGAAGUGGAAUUCCAGGUGUAGCGGUGAAAUGCGUAGAUAUCUGGAGGAACAUCAGUGGCGAAGGCGGCUUCCUGGAUCAAGACUGACGCUGAGGCUCGAAAGCGUGGGGAGCAAACAGGAUUAGAUACCCUGGUAGUCCACGCCCUAAACUAUGUCAACUAGACGUUGGCCCCUUUAAUGGGGUUAGUGUCGAAGCUAACGCGUUAAGUUGACCGCCUGGGGAGUACGGCCGCAAGGUUG
rnacentral:rRNA from 1 species